CCUGUGAGGGCUGUGUGGUUGUCUGCUGUUUGGUAAUGCAGAGUCCAGAGAUGAACCGUGAAUUCGAGCCCCCAGGCAGCGAUUCGGGCCGGGUCAAUGGGCAGGUCCGUCCUGGCCUCCCCGUGUCUUCAGCUUCUGUUUGCCCUGCACUGCCCAUGUCUCACGCCUUCUCUUCUGUGGGGUGCUGUCCUCCAUGCGGGCACUCUAGGCUAGCCUUCCUCCCACAGUUCAGAAGCUCCAGGGCUUGUUAGGCUCUGGCCGUGGGAGUCCCUGAAGGUUCUCUCUGUGUCUUGUGCCAAGCUGUGCCAAGGCCAGCCUAGCUCUGAGGGUGGUUCUAGGGCACGGAAGUACAGGGGUGUGUGGCAUUUCUCUCAAGGAGCAUAUGGACGCCGGGAGGCCACUGCUGGAGGCCUCAGGCAGUCUUCAAUGGGAUGUGGACUCCCAGUUUGAGGUGUGCUGAGCACAUUUGUUCUCCAUGUGCUGUGUACUCAUGUUCACAAGGUGGCAUCCAGCGCUACACUGUGUUUAGACGUGAAGAACACGGAAGGGCUGUGUGCUAUCGCACGUGUAGUAGCUCAGGAGUUGGAGCAUGGAGGGCUGUGUGCUCACUGCUAGGGAAGAGGGAUCACUCGUGUAGUAGAUCAGGAGGAGGAGCAUGGAGGGCUGUGUGCUCACUGCUAGGGAAGAGGGAUCACACGUGUAGUAGCUCAGGAGCGUGGAGGGCUGUGUGUGCUCACUGCUAGGGAAGAGGAUCACACGUGUAGUAGAUCAGCUGGAGGAGCUGGAGGGCUGUGUGUGCUCACUGCUAGGGAAGAGGAUCACACGUGUAGUAGAUCAGGAGGAGGAGCUGGAGGGCUGUGUGUGCUCACUGCUAGGGAAGAGGAUCACACGUGUAGUAGAUCAGGAGGAGGAGCGUGGAGGGCUGUGUGUGCUCACUGCUAGGGAAGAGGGAUCACACGUGUAGUAGAUCAGGAGGAGGAGGGCUGUGUGUGCUCACUGCUAGGGAAGAGGAUCACACGUGCAGUAGAUGAGCAGGAGGAGCAUGGAGGGCUGUGUGUGCUCACUGCUAGGGAAGAGGGAUCACACGUGUAGUAGAUCAGGAGGAGGAGGGCUGUGUGUGCUCACUGCUAGGGAAGAGGAUCACACGUGUAGUAGCUCUCAGCUCUGGAAGGCAGGAGUGCUUGCAUGGAGUGGCUCAGUCCUCUGUCCUGGGUGUAAUGUUGAAGUGGUGGGGGAUGCUGUUGGGAUCUGCUGGCUUCUUCUUUGCAGCAUAUCAGGUUGUUGCAGAACUCAGUUCCGUGUGCUGGGGGCCGUGCUCUGUGGUCUCCUUGCUGCCUGUCAGCUGGGGGAGGAGAAUGCUGUCGGCUCUGUGCUUGUGAGGUGAGGUGGGGCAGUGUUGCAGGAACUCUGCAGUUGCAGCCGCUCAGGCCUGUGGGUCAUCCCCAAGAAGUGGGUCAGAUUCUUCUUUCCAGUGGAUGUUUCUUUAUCUUCUUUUUUUUAAGAUUUAUUUUAUGAGGGGCAGAGUUACAGAAGAGUGUUUGUGGGUGGGAAGGAAAGAAAAUCUUCGACCUGCUCGUUCACUCCGCGGAUGGCUGCACGGCCAGAGCUGGGUCAGGCUGAAGCCAGGAGCCCAGAGUUUCCUCCAGGUUCUCCCACCUGGGCAGGGGCUCAAGCACGUCUGCCGGUUCUGCUGCUUCCUCAGGCGCAUUAGCAGGAGCUGACUAGAGCUGGAGCAGGCGCCUGUGUGGGAUGCUGGCGCCUCAGGCAGGAGCGGCUGUGCCAUGCACUGCACCUUACUGGGUCCUUUAGAAACGGCAGCGCCACGACCCAGCUGUUGGGCUUGUACGAGAACUUCUGUUCACGGUGUGGUUCUUAUCUCAGCCACAGGCAGCUGGUGUGGGGUGGGCCAGGACUUCCUAGCUCUGAUUCUUACCGGUUUCCAAAGGAUAAAGUUUGCCUUAGGGGUCAAAGUCCAUGCUAAUGAGGUAGUCUAUGUGAACAAAUCAGGGAGUAGGUAGAGCCAGGGACCAGUCAGCAGGGGCCUAAGAUGGAGCCCAUGUUACAUGGGGAGGUUAGGUGUGCUCAGACAGGUCCACGGUGGGUGGGGCUGGUGAACAGCAGAAGCCAAUCAGCAUGGCCACGUGAGAUGCUUAUAGCUGCAGGAGGCUGUGGAUCCAUCACAGUGUGGAAGUUCUGGGCCACUCGGCUGGGUGCCUGGGCCCUUUGGGAACCCCACAGGCUGUCAUCUAUAUCAGUGACAGCCGUCCCCUGUGUCUCUGUCUGUGAGGUGGGGUGAUGGUGACAGCCGUCCCCUGUGUCUCUGUCCUCUGUGAGGUGGGGUGAUGGUGACAGCCGUCCCCUGUGUCUCUGUCCUCUGUGAGGUGGGGUGAUGGUGACAGCCGUCCCCUGUGUCUCUGUCCUCUGUGAGGUGGGGUGAUGGUGACAGCCGUCCCCUGUGUCUCUGUCCUCUGUGAGGUGGGGUGAUGGUGACAGCCGUCCCCUGUGUCUCUGUCCUCUGUGAGGUGGGGUGAUGGUGACAGCCGUCCCCUGUGUCUCUGUCCUCUGUGAGGUGGGGUGAUGGUGACAUCCGUCCCCUGUGUCUCUGUCCUCUGUGAGGUGGGGUGAUGGUGACAGCCGUCCCCUGUGUCUCUGUCCUCAUCAGAAAGGUGGGGGUGAUGGUGACAGCCAUCCCCUGUGUCUCUGUCCUCUGUGAGGUGGGGUGAUGGUGACAGCCGUCCCCUGUGUCUCUGUCCUCUGUGAGGUGGGGUGAUGGUGACAGCCGUCCCCUGUGUCUCUGUCUGUGAGGUGGGGUGAUGUUGACAGCCGUCCCCCGUGUCUCUGUCCUCAGUGAGUGGGGUGAUGGUGACAGCCGUCCCCUGUGUCUCUGUCCUCGUCUGUCAGAUAGAGGUGAUGUUGACAGCUGUUCCCGUGUGCCUGUUCUCUGUGAGCCAUGGGAGCUGUAGUAUCAGUGGGCCUCUCCCAGAUCCUCCUUUUGAGUUGGGGUAAUAAUAUUGCUCAGGCCUGUAUCAGCAAAUUGUCUCUUAGUUCUCUGUGAUUAAAUGAACAGCGUUUGUGUUUCCUGUGGUGAGUGAGUGGCAGCUGUUACUAGAACCAUGGGAGCCCACAUGCCGUGUCGGUGCCUGGGUUCAGUCCUAGCUGCAGCUGCUGAUCUCAGCUUCCUGUGGUGCAGUCUCCGCUGGUGGCUCAAGUGCUCGGUGAGGACUCGAGGUCAGGGUCACACACGCGUUAGGGGCCUGAGGGCAAUGGAGACCCACGGGGACUUUGUAAACCAGGAAAGUCAGAUCCUCUGAACCACCCAACCCAAGCCUUAUGCAUCUUCUAAGUGUGAACGCUCUGUGUUGAGAAAUCAUGGACAGGCUGGCUUGGGGAUAAGACACCAGUUUUGGGGGCAAGAAGGUGAACCCCCAAUGAACUAUCUCUGUCUGACCCCGUGUGUCCUCCCCGUCUG